rnacentral:rRNA from 1 species
GGGCGCAUGGUGAAUGCCUUGGCACUAGGAGCCGAUGAAGGACGGGACUAACACGGAUAUGCUUCGGGGAGCUU